GAUGAAGAACGUAGCGAAAUGCGAUACUUGGUGUGAAUUGCAGAAUCCCGUGAACCAUCGAGUCUUUGAACGCAAGUUGCGCCCGAAGCCAUUAGGCCGAGGGCACGCCUGCCUGGGCGUCACACGUCGUUGCCCCCCCAUCUACUCCUUCGGGAUGGCGGGGGGCGGAUGAUGGCCUCCCGUGCGCCUAGCCGCGCGGUUGGCAUAAAUACCAAGUCCUCGGCGACGCACGCCACGACAAUCGGUGGUUGCGAAACCUCGGUUGCCCGUCGUGUGCGUUCGUCGCGCAUCGAGGGCUCGAAAAAAUGCUCGGCUCCGGCUCGGCUUUCAACGCGACCCCAGGUCAGGCGGGGUUACCCGCUGAAUUUAAGCAUAUCAAAAGCGGAGGA
rnacentral:misc_RNA from 1 species